GUGAUUGCUUGGGCAGUACAUAUACUAAAAUUAGAACAACAGAGAAACAAUUUAGCAUGGCCCCAGAGAAAGAAUGACAUGCAGAUUCAUGAAGUAUUCUAUAUUUGU
ensembl:snRNA U6 U6 spliceosomal RNA